UUGAUAGAAGCCAAAAAGAGGCUUAUCACUGUUAAUGAUAGAAUUGAAUUUAUUUUCCUAUCAAG
rnacentral:tRNA from 1 species